rnacentral:misc_RNA from 1 species
GUGUACACAGUGCAGGGGGGAGGGAGUGGGGGAGCGGGAAUGCAGCCACAUGAGUGGCCCAUAUCCCCGAGGCUAGCCGCGGGCACCGCCGACACCAGGUCGCCGGUGCGCCGCCUCCGCCUCCGCCUCUUAUACGUGUCGAGGCUACCUUUGGGCCUCCCCCUCUUCCUCUUGGUUUCCUCGCCGCCUCCGGGCGCUGGAGGAGCCACGCCCGCGCCCGGGGCCGCGAUCCCGGCCUCAGCCUCGUUCCACUCCGCCUCGUCUGCCAUGGAUUGGUCGGCGCUUGCCGCAGCGCCGUCGUGUAGGCGUAGGGCGGGGCGAAAUGUGGGAGAGGAAAUGCUGAUGCCGCCGGACGAGGUUUCUGGCCGGAUUUUGGCCGAUCAGCUUCUAAGAGCAUCUCAAGCAGCUUAUAUGCAGCUAUAACCAUAUUCAAACUUAUUUCUAUAAACAGCUAUCUAUAAAAUAUAAAACGAUAUAUUAGUGACGUGUAAUAUACAGUAGUUCACCC